GACACACUUCAGUAGUAAGUAGCCUUGUCUUUCUAUUAAUUUCAGUAUAAUUCGAUUUUCUGAUUUAUGCCAUAUUGUUUUGCUUCUCCCCCCUCCCCCUUUGUUCUGUGAUUGUGAAGUUUUGGUAGUUUUAAGUCCUUUGGAGUCCUUUGGCAUGAGUGGUUUCUCUAGAGCAAGUUUUUCAGACCUCAGUCCUCAGUACUUGUGCCAUAGAAUCAUAGAAUGGCUUGGGUUGGAAAGGACCUCAAAGAUCACAUAGUUCCAACCUCUGUGCCAUCUGCAGAGUUACCAACCGCUAAAUUAGGCACUAGAUUAGGUUGCCCAGGUUGUCCAUUCUGUAAAGGCCAAGGAUGUUCUUCUGUGCUGAAAUUGUGGCCCAUUCUUCCCCUGCCUGUUUACCCUGCACAUUUCCAGGCCCUUUGUAUAUAGGAGUGCUGUGCUACACAGUUCUGGGGGACCCAUUGCUACCAUUGUGCACACGCAUGUGUUGACACAGAAUGGAGUGUUUGGUGGAGGGAUGUCCUUCGUCUCUUCUCUCUUCAGAGCAGUUCUGAAUGCCAGCAACACAUUCUCCUCUGGUAUCCUUCGAAUACCUGGGAAUAUCCUUAAAUCCAGUAGG